CAACAACAACAGCAGCAGCAGCAGCAGCAACAACAUGAACAGCAGCAACAACAAGAACAACAUGACCAGCAGCAACUGCACAUCGAAUUCUCAAAAGCUGAACUACGAAGGCGACAACGAUCAGAAUCAGAAUUAUCCAUCAAGUUUAUCGAGCGAUAUAAUUCGCGUCACGUGCCUAGAUCCAACGUGAGGGUCCCACGAGAAUCGCAAGAUGAGGAACAACAGCAACAACAGCAAAUCAUUUAUUUCGAUGCGAAGGAUGUGAAGGAUCGCUCGCGCCGCAGAUCCGGACCAGUGCAGGUCGUCAGCUCUGCAUCGCCCAGUCCCCAAAACCCGGAUCAUCCCCAAGGUACCAGCCAGGAUCCAUAAUGGAUGCCGACGGCAGCGAUGGAUCCAUCCAUCGACGAACGCUUCAACGCAACUUCUACCCGGAUGUUCGGUUUCGUACAAGUAGGAUCACCUCAGAUUUCCAUAGAGAUCAAGGAGACCUAAUAACUCUAUUUUUAAUCGAGUGGAGUGUUGGUUUAUUCGUUAAUUGCCGAUUUACGUUGCUUACGGAAAUUUUCGAUCAGCGUGUCGAUUGUACGCGACGAUCAGUCAUCCCGGUAAUUCGACAACGUCUUGGAUUUUUAACGUGGGGGAUACAUCGCGGCCAAGAGAAUUACAAGUUUGUAUAAAUGUAUAGUGCGAACAAUAUCGUUGGAUCCCGUUUUCCACCGGUUGAGAUAGAUUAAGAAUAUUACAGAAACGAUGAUAAGCGAUAAGGGAACUAUGAUGAAUUAAAAUAUCGAAUUGACUAAUAUUAAAUUAGCGAAGAAACGACUAGUUGAAAUAAUGAUAACAAAAAUUAGUCAAACCAACGUUACAGACAAUGGAAUGAAUAUUUAAACAAUAACAAAAACCAAGUGUGAACAAACAAACCAAAAAUAACGAAAAAAAACGUUCGUAAUUUUUUCCGUAUAUAGUAUAAUAUCUGCUAUGUAAAUUUGAACAUAUUUUGAACUUAUUAAUAAAACACUUUGAGAUGAAAAAAAAAAACAAAACAAACGAAGAUAUUAAAACAGUUGUAACGACGAGGCUGGUCGGCAAAUUCCUGCGCACGGCUGAACAAAUAUUCUGAUAAUGACACUAUUGUAGAACGAUCGGUUUUCCUGAGAAACAACAAAUCAAUUUUUUAACAAUCUCAGAACGAAUUUAGUAUGCCACAUACACACGUAACACCAAUUUCACGCAUAAAUUAUGAACCGAUAUCGCUCUCGGUGAUUCACCAAGUUGACUCGCAAGAGGUGAGAAUAACGAUGUAAUAUAGGUAUACCGUAUCGGUGAUGAUAUAUUGCAAGGCGUACCUUUGAAGAAAAGAAAACAAAAAAAAAAAAAAAAGCAACUAAUUCGAAACAUCGUGAUAAAAGUGCGUACGUAUCAAGGAAUUGAAUCGAAACAUGCUACCGGCUACGAAUGGUAGUGUGACGAGAAAGUUGAAUGUUAGAAAAAAAAAAAAACAAAAAAAAAAACAAAGAAAGAAAGAAAGAAACUUUGGAACAAGUACAUAUAGUUGUAUCGUUGUAAGGUACGUAUAGUCAUUGUCGGAGAUCUAGUCUCUCGUCUCUGUGGUACCUUGCGAUAUACGAGCAUACAUUAUAAACGCAUGCGUUUGAAAAAAUCCCGUGUGUCCGAUGAUCGGUUUGAAUCGAACAAGGCUGCGGUCGCACCUCCUUACAACAACCGAAAACAACAACAAGAAAAACAAUGACGCGUGUGUUCUAUUGUAUGUUGCGUAUACUGUGCGUACGUAUACACGAGACGCCCAAUUUUAUCACCACUUAUCGUUGUAGAUAUUCAAAUCAUUUUUACUAUCAUUCACGCAGCUGAUACGUGACGCGAGACAAUCGCUACGGGAUUCGGAUUCCUUACUUCGUUUGUGGAAAAAAAAUUCCGACGGAUAAUAACGAGGAGAUGAGAUGUCUGCAUCGGUUCCCCAGUCAAGGAUUCGUAAAUAUUGUAUUCGAAAAACUUUAAUUAUUGCUAUUACUAUUUUUUCGGUCAUUAUUAUAUCAAGCGAAACGGAUAAUCGAGGGACGACAACGGUACAUGCAAAAGUCCCGCGGGUGGGCGGCGUGAAUUAUAGUGGAAAUUUAGAAGUGUGAUUUUUUAACGAGUUACCAACAAUAAGGUUCGCCUCGUUCGAUGAAUCUGACAGUUGAAUGAGUAUUCGUAUAUGAUAGAGGAAAAAAUAAAAUAAAAAGAAAAA
rnacentral:lncRNA from 1 species